GUGUCAGCAGCCGCGGUAAUACGGAGGGGGCAAGCGUUACUCGGAAUUAUUGGGCGUAAAGGGCGCGUAGGCGGCCGCGUGCGUCAGAGGUGAAAUCCCCGGGCUUAACCCGGGACCUGCCUCUGAUACGGCGCGGCUUGAGUCCGGGAGAGGGGAGCAGAAUUCCCAGUGUAGCGGUGAAAUGCGUAGAUAUUGGGAGGAAUACCGGUGGCGAAGGCGGCUCCCUGGACCGGUACUGACGCUGAGGCGCGAAAGCGUGGGUAGCAAACAGGAUUAGAUACCCUGGUAGUCCACGCCGUAAACGAUGGGUGCUUGGUGUCGGGGGUAUCGACCCCUCCGGUGCCGAAGCUAACGCAUUAAGCACCCCGCCUGGGGAGUACGGUCGCAAGGCUGAA
rnacentral:rRNA from 1 species